rnacentral:rRNA from 1 species
GGAGGGUGCGAGCGUUAAUCGGAAUUACUGGGCGUAAAGCGCGCGUAGGUGGUUUGUUAAGUUGGUUGUGAAAGCCCCGGGCUCAACCUGGGAUGGUCGAUCAAAACUGGCAAACUAGAGUAUGGGAGAGGGCAGUGGAAUUUCCAGUGUAGCGGUGAAAUGCGUAGAGAUUGGAAGGAACACCAGUGGCGAAGGCGACUGCCUGGCCUGAUACUGACACUGAGGUGCGAAAGCGUGGGGAGCAAACAGGGAUUAGAUACCCUGGUAGUCCACGCCGUAAACGAUGUCAACUAGUUGUUGGGUACGUAGAUGUACUUAGUGACGCAGCUAACGCGAUAAGUUGACCGCCUGGGGAGUACGGUCGCAAGAUUA